rnacentral:rRNA from 1 species
AUAUUUUUAACAAUGGAUCUCUAGGCUCUUGCAACGAUGAAGAACGCAGUGAAUUGCGAAAUGUCAUGUGACAUGCAAUUUUUGUGAAUCAUUGAAUUUUCGAACGCAUUUUGCGCUCUCAUUUUGUGGGAGUGUGUCUGUUUGAGCGCUGUAUAUUAUU